ACGGGUGAGUAAUACCUAGGAAUCUGCCUGAUAGUGGGGGAUAACGUUCGGAAACGGACGCUAAUACCGCAUACGUCCUACGGGAGAAAGCAGGGGACCUUCGGGCCUUGCGCUAUCAGAUGAGCCUAGGUCGGAUUAGCUAGUUGGUGAGGUAAUGGCUCACCAAGGCUACGAUCCGUAACUGGUCUGAGAGGAUGAUCAGUCACACUGGAACUGAGACACGGUCCAGACUCCUACGGGAGGCAGCAGUGGGGAAUAUUGGACAAUGGGCGAAAGCCUGAUCCAGCCAUGCCGCGUGUGUGAAGAAGGUCUUCGGAUUGUAAAGCACUUUAAGUUGGGAGGAAGGGUAUUAACCUAAUACGUUAGUACUUUGACGUUACCGACAGAAUAAGCACCGGCUAACUCUGUGCCAGCAGCCGCGGUAAUACAGAGGGUGCAAGCGUUAAUCGGAAUUACUGGGCGUAAAGCGCGCGUAGGUGGUUUGUUAAGUUGAAUGUGAAAUCCCCGGGCUCAACCUGGGAACUGCAUCCAAAACUGGCAAGCUAGAGUAUGGUAGAGGGUAGUGGAAUUUCCUGUGUAGCGGUG
rnacentral:rRNA from 1 species